rnacentral:lncRNA from 1 species
GAAAGAUCCAAAUGCCAUAUCUGAAGAGGUCAAGUAUGGGGGCUGAAGUGACGCCACAGAACCAACAGUUUAGAAUGAGGACACGGGUAUUAAAUGCUUCCUUUCAUCAUCACCAUGAUGAAACUGGACUAAUAGACAAGAAGCAGUUAUUCACAAAACACGAACUGUGCAAUCCAGACAUGUGAUACUCCUGACCUGGAGGGCUGACUAAUAUUCUUUACAUGAAAUACAGCAAGGCGCUGCAGAACAAAAGGGAACUUCAUUCAACUCUACAAAACAUGGAUGGUGUUAGAAU